rnacentral:ncRNA from 1 species
GGAGAGUGUUGAUAUUCCCUUAAGAAGUGGUCGGGAAACAGGGAGGAGCGAACACGAUGUUCGCGACAGCCGAUUCGCGCCAUGGAUGGCGCGUGUAGGCGACCCGUCCCUAUACCAUAUAUGAUAUCCACUUCUUUAGGGAAUUCAC